UACAGCCCUCUAUUCUUUCAGACAGGACUUUCCAUUCAGGCUUAAAAAAACACUGCUGUCAAUCAUGGUCUCCAGAUAGUCAACAAAUUCCAGAAGAAAAUAAAUUACCUGGAGAACUGAUCACAUUGCUGCAACAUUUGACUGGUCAGCCUGCCCCUGAUGUCAACGGCCAGAGGAUCUGCACUCUGAGAAACUUUGAGAAGUCCAGAUCACUGAUGGAAAUGGAAGUGCAGUAG
rnacentral:lncRNA from 1 species